rnacentral:rRNA from 1 species
AUUGAACGCUGGCGGAAUGCUUUACACAUGCAAGUCGAACGGCAGCACGGACUUCGGUCUGGUGGCGAGUGGCGAACGGGUGAGUAAUACAUCGGAACGUGCCCAGUCGUGGGGGAUAACGUAGCGAAAGCUACGCUAAUACCGCAUACGAUCUAAGGAUGAAAGCGGGGGAUCGCAAGACCUCGCGCGAUUGGAGCGGCCGAUGGCAGAUUAGGUAGUUGGUAGGGUAAAGGCCUACCAAGCCGACGAUCUGUAGCUGGUCUGAGAGGAUGAUCAGCCACACUGGGACUGAGACACGGCCCAGACUCCUACGGGAGGCAGCAGUGGGGAAUUUUGGACAAUGGACGCAAGUCUGAUCCAGCCAUUCCGCGUGCAGGAUGAAGGCCCUCGGGUUGUAAACUGCUUUUGUACAGAACGAAAAGGCUCUGGUUAAUACCUGGGGCUCAUGACGGUACUGUAAGAAUAAGCACCGGCUAACUACGUGCCAGCCGCCGCGGUAA